CCUACGGGAGGCAGCAGUAGGGAAUCUUCGGCAAUGGGGGGAACCCUGACCGAGCAACGCCGCGUGAAUGAAGAAGUUAUUCGUAAUGUAAAGUUCUUUUAACAGGGAAGAAAGAGAAAUUUGACGGUACCUGAAGAAUAAGCUCCGGCUAACAACGUGCCAGCAGCCGCGGUAAUACGUAGGGAGCGAGCGGUAUCCGGAAUUAUUGGGCGAAAAGGGUGCGUAGAUGGCAUAGUAAGUCUUGUGUAAAAAUGCUGGGCUCAACCCAGUAGGGCAAAAGAUACUGCAAAGCUAGAGUAUGACAGAGGCAAGUGGAACUACAUGUGUAGCGGUAAAAUGCGUAAAUAUAUGUAAGAACACCAGUGGCGAAGGCGGCUUGCUGGGUCGAUACUGACAUUGAGGCACGAAAGCGUGGGGAGCAAACAGGAUUAGAUACCCCAGUAGUC
rnacentral:rRNA from 1 species